rnacentral:rRNA from 1 species
AGCGGAGGAAAAGAAACUAACAAGGAUUCCCCUAGUAACGGCGAGUGAAGCGGGAAGAGCUCAAAUUUGAAAUCUGGUAGCCUUCGGUUGCCCGAGUUGUAAUCUAGAGAAGUGUUUUCCGUGCCGGCCCAUGUACAAGUCCCUUGGAACAGGGCGUCAUAGAGGGUGAGAAUCCCGUCCUUGACAUGGACCCCCGGUGCUUUGUGAUACACUUUCAACGAGUCGAGUUGUUUGGGAAUGCAGCUCAAAAUGGGUGGUGAAUUCCAUCUAAAGCUAAAUAUUGGCGAGAGACCGAUAGCGAACAAGUACCGUGAGGGAAAGAUGAAAAGCACUUUGGAAAGAGAGUUAAACAGUACGUGAAAUUGUUGAAAGGGAAACGAUUGAAGUCAGUCAUGCUCUUGGGACUUACCUCCCUUGAGUGGGGUCAACAUCAGUUUUGAUCGAUGGAUAAAGGCACGGGGAAGGUAGCACUCUCGGGUGAACUUAUAGCCUCGCGUCAUAUACAUUGAUUGGGACUGAGGAACGCAGCAUGCCUUAUGGCCGGGAUUCGUCCACGUACAUGCUAGG